rnacentral:rRNA from 1 species
UACGGAGGGGGCAAGCGUUGUUCGGAGUUACUGGGCGUAAAGCGCGCGUAGGCGGUGCGGUAAGUCAGGGGUUAAAGGCUGCAGCUCAACUGCAGUAAGGCCUUUGAUACUAUCGCGCUAGAGUACCAGAGAGGAUGGCGGAAUUCCCGGUGUAGCGGCGAAAUGCGUAGAUAUCGGGAGGAACACCAGUAGCGAAGGCGGCCAUCUGGCUGGUAACUGACGCUGAGGUGCGAGAGCGUGGGGAGCAAACAGG